GCCGGGAGUAGUGGCGCACGCCUGUAAUCCCAGCGGCUUGGAAGGCUGAAGCAGGAGGAUCACGAGUUCAAAGCCAGCCUCAGCAACAGCGAGGUGCUAAGCAACUCAGUGAGACUCUGUCUCUA
rnacentral:sRNA from 1 species